UGGGGAAUAUUGCACAAUGGGCGCAAGCCUGAUGCAGCCAUGCCGCGUGUGUGAAGAAGGCCCUCGGGUUGUAAAGCACUUCCAGCGGGGAGGAAGGCGAUAAGGUUAAUAACCUCAUCGAUUGACGUUACCCGCAGAAGAAGCACCGGCUAACUCCGUGCCAGCAGCCGCGGUAAUACGGAGGGAGCAAGCGAUAAUCGGAAUUACUGGGCGUAAAGCGCACGAAGGCGGUCUGUAAAGUCGGAUGUGAAAUCCCCGGGCUCAACCUGGGAGCUAAAUUCGAAACUGGCAGGCUAGAGUCUUGUAGAGGGGGGUAGGAGGCCAGGUGUAGCGGUGAAAUGCGUGGAGAUCUAGAGGAGUACCGGUGGCGAAGGCGGCCCCCUGGAAAAAGACUGACGCACAGGUGCGAAAGAGUGAGGAGCAAGCAGG
rnacentral:rRNA from 1 species